GAAAUGCGAUAAGUAAUGUGAAUUGCAGAAUUCAGUGAAUCAUCGAAUCUUUGAACGCACAUUGCGCCCCCUGGUAUUACGGGGGGCAUGCCUGUUCGAGCGUCAUUUCACCACUCAAGCCUCGCUUGGUAUUGGGCAACGCGGUCCGCCGCGUGCCUCAAAUCGACCGGCUGGGUCUUCUGUCCCCUAAGCGUUGUGGAAACUAUUCGCUAAAGGGUGUUCGGGAGGCUACGCCGUAAAACAACCCCAUUUCUAAGGUUGACCUCGGAUCAGGUAGGGAUACCCGCUGAACUUAAGC
rnacentral:misc_RNA from 1 species